rnacentral:rRNA from 1 species
GACGAACGCUGGCGGCGUGCUUAACACAUGCAAGUCGAACGGAAAGGCCCUGCUUUUGUGGGUUGCUCGAGUGGCGACCGGGUGAGUAACCCGUGAGUAACCUGCCCUUGCCUUUGGGUUAACUUCAGGAAACUGGGGCUAAUACCGGAUAGGAGCUCCUGCUGCAUGGUGGGGGUGGGAAAGUUUCGGCGGUUGGGGAUGGACUCGCGGCUUAUCAGCUUGUUGGUGGGGUAGUGGCUUACCAAGGCUUUGACGGGUAGCCGGCCUGAGAGGGUGACCGGCCACAUUGGGACUGAGAUACGGCCCAGACUCCUACGGGAGGCAGCAGUGGGGAAUAUUGCACAAUGGGCGGAAGCCUGAUGCAGCAACGCCGCGUGCGGGAUGACGGCCUUCGGGUUGUAAACCGCUUUCGCCUGUGACGAAGCGUGAGUGACGGUAAUGGGUAAAGAAGCACCGGCUAACUACGUG